AACGAACGCUGGCGGCAGGCCUAACACAUGCAAGUCGAACGCCGUAGCAAUACGGAGUGGCAGACGGGUGAGUAACACGUGGGAACGUACCUUUCGGUUCGGAAUAACUCAGGGAAACUUGAGCUAAUACCGGAUACGUGCGAGAGCAGAAAGAUUUAUCGCCGAAAGAUCGGCCCGCGUCCGAUUAGCUUGUUGGUGAGGUAAUGGCUCACCAAGGCGACGAUCGGUAGCUGGUCUGAGAGGAUGAUCAGCCACACUGGGACUGAGACACGGCCCAGACUCCUACGGGAGGCAGCAGUGGGGAAUAUUGGACAAUGGGCGAAAGCCUGAUCCAGCCAUGCCGCGUGAGUGAUGAAGGCCUUAGGGUUGUAAAGCUCUUUUGUCCGGGAAGAUAAUGACGGUACCGGAAGAAUAAGCCCCGGCUAACUUCGUGCCAGCAGCCGCGGUAAU
rnacentral:rRNA from 1 species